rnacentral:lncRNA from 1 species
UUUUCCUGGGGGCCGAGGUAUCCUGAUUUUUUUUUUAAGGCAAUGAAACCAACUCUGCUCACCAAAAAUAUGACCCAGCGAGGGUGCAGGAGCCAGAGGAGGCUCGCUAGGGAAGCGGCCUGCGCGAGGUGUGGGCAGAUCUGGUUCCCGUCAGCGGUCCAGCGGCGGGAGCUCCGCCCGCAGGAGGAGACCGGACCUGGGCGCUGCCGUCAGGACCAGCGGAGGCUAGCCCGACACGUUGGCCAGGGACAGCGGCGUGGAGGGAAAGCAGAAGGCCAUCAAGGAGGAACAGCGCGGGUGGCAAUGGCUCUGGCCCGGGCCCUGCCAAGAACCCUGAGCAGGUCACCCGCCUGGCGGUGGGCGGGGCUUCCUCACUGCCUGCGGGGCCUUGCGGGAGUCUGGGGACCGUCCUUCUCUUCUUAUUGGAUAAUGCAGCCAUCCCAUCCGUUCUGUCAGAAUGAUUUGGAGGCUGCAGUGUGGACCCCUCUGGACCGGGACUCUGUGAGCGUUUACUGUGCAGCGGUGCCCACUCUUCUGUGAGGGAUGGUCCAAGACCCCCAGGAGGUGCCCUGUGCAGGCAGAGCAUCUUUUCUGUGCUUGCGCACCUGUGCUAAAGCUUCAUCUAUAAGUCAGCCUCAGUUAGAGGUUGGCCUCAGGAGCUGGUGUGAAAUACAACCAAGGGAACAACAAUCCGUGACAGAGGUUGUGUGGCCUGUCUCUCUUGAACAGCCUUGAUGAAUGUCAGCUUUUCAGACCGCAGUUGUUCUUGUGGAAAUCAAGCCACGGAAUGUAGGACUGCAGCCGGCACAACCAUGACAACUGUCAACCAGAUAGAUUGAUAGUUUUUGAGGUUAUUGACCAGGUAACUCAGAGGGGAGCAGGGGAGGCAGCCUUGCCAGAUAACAGAUAGGAAGAAGUGACAGGAGGAGUGUGUCACCUCCCUUUGGUCCCUCAGACUCCCUCUAGCACUAUCUUUUGGCAGAACUUGUCACAUGGUAUGCUAAGUCCCAGACCAGCUAGCUCUCCAGGGCCAAGUCACUGUCCCUCAGUAUCCCUGGGGGACUGGUUGCUGGAGCCCCUGUGGAUGCCAAGUCUGCGAAUGCUCAAGUCCCUUAUGUAAAACAAUGUGACAUUUGUACGUAACCUACCACAUCCUUCUGUACACCCUAAGCCAUCUCUAGAUGACUUGUAAUGCCUAAUACAGUAUAAAUGCUAUGUCAAUAGUUGCCAUACUGUAUUGUUUAGGGACUAAUGACCAGGAAAAAAAAAAGUGCUCACUUGGGCAAUAGAUGCAAUUUAAAAAAAUGUUUUCAAUCUGCAGUUGGUUGAAUCCAUGGAUAUGAACCCCACAGCUACCAAGAGCUGACUGUAUUGAAGGGUGUGUGUUGUAAGACACCAGUGGAGGAGUUGGCACCAACUAUGAAUACUUCAGCACGUGCCUAGGACCAUCCUCUCCAUGUCACGGCACUAUCAUGCCUAAGAAGCAGUGAGUUCCCAAUAUUGCGAAAUGCCCAGUGCAUGCUAUAAAAUUUCCUCAGCUGUCCCUAAAUAUGUCUUGUGACUGAGGCUGGGCGAAUUGAGUCCCACAGAGUCCCAUGUUCUGGACCUUUGAGUGUCUUUCCUGGUGUUGUUUUCUCUAUCCCCAGUAAUUCCUGUAACCUAGAGCUUCAAUUUGACUUGGGUUGAUUAGGUUUAUUGAUUUCUGUUAAGAAUGGAAGAUGCUUCUUGACCCACAGCAGGGCUAUAUCCCAAUGAACCAUCCUGCACUGAAUAUGUCACAAGCUGAGCAUGUGCUGAGCCCCCCCAUGUGGGCUGAACAUCCGCUCAGCAGCAUGAUGCCCUGGGGGCUCUCUGUGGUCCCUGAGGGGCUGAGCGAAUCACUAGCCCAGGAGAAGGUCAGAGCUCAAAAUUCACACAAGUUUUCACUGAAUGCAUAUUGCUUUCGUGACAUCAAAAGGUUACAACAUUUUAGUCAAAACAGAAUAAAUUGGAACAUUGUUAGGUGAACCGUUUGCAUCAGGCAUUAUCUGUACCUCUGGUGCUGUAACCACUGCAGUGUGACUUUAGAAUGUGGGUUCUGGUAUCAUCCUUGAAGAUACUGAGGAACUUCAGACAUGCUUUUGAAGCCCUAUUACAAAAGCCAGGCGAUUCUCAUGGGCAGGCAGGGAGGUGUGGGUUUUCAUCCUAACUGUGCUGGUGGUCAGUUCUGGACCUGGCCCUCGUCCCUGUGCAUGUGGCCUCCUGGGCCACCUUGAGAUGCUCCGGGCUGUGCUCUGGAACCUCUGCUGUGG